rnacentral:lncRNA from 1 species
AUUCCUCCUCAUUUUUUCCUUAUAGCUAAGUGAUGGGAAUUGCACACACCCCACUGGCAGAAACAACAGCAAGUUGAGCUUUGAAGUUUCUUCCCUGCUUCAACAGCUGGGCUGGGAAAGGGUGGAAGCCCUGCAGCCACACUUCAAAGUAACACCAGCUGAUUGCCCUGCUUCUGCCCUGCAUCUACGGAGGAUCCCAUGGAACUAUUUUUUUUUGGAAGAAAAAUGGGAUGACUAACAAACUAGUAACGAACACUUAUGCUCUCCUUUUUCUUGUUUCUUCUUCUUUUUCUAAUGCAUUGGAUAUUUAGCAGUAAGCAUUGGUCAGCCUCUAUUGGUGCACAGCUUGAGUGUGUUAAAUAACUGGAUGUUUAGUUGAUGCCAGCCAGCUGCACUAAGGGAAGAAAUUAGCUUCCAAAGGGCACAGAUGUUUGCUAUUGGCCUCACACUGUGUUGUUAGGUUGAGUUAUUUAUAUGAUUCACCAGAAAAUCAAACGCAGGAUUUAUGGUAAAAUUGUAAUGUCCAAAAUAUUUUUAAGUAUUCAAUAGAAAUGAGAUAAAGUAGUAGUAAUAAAAAUGAGUUUCAGAUAUUAAGAUGAUAUAAGAAUAAAUUUAACCUGGAAAAUAUAAUUAAGGAGUGGAAGAGACAAAAGAAUAUUGUAUGGAACCAACUAAUUCAUUCAACCAGUGGUUAUAGGGUUUAUAGACAGGGUGUUGGUAAUAUACCAUUCUCUCCUAUUGUAUAUUCUAUUUCAAUAGCAGAAGUAGAAUGCAAAUAUAUGCCAGAAAUCUAUAUGGAAAGAAGGUGGGCAUUUGGCUUACCUCCAACCUAUAUGCAAAAUAGGAUCAUAAAAUAGGGACUUAUGCUUAGUUUACUCCCCAAUAAAGCCAGAGUCAAACUUAGACAAAACUGUAAAGCAGGAAACAUUUCCCAGCCCUUCCCAUUUGUCCCUCUUCAUCCUUGUAUAAACCUAUGUGGGUAAGAUAGAUCUUGUACGAGAAUUUAAGAGUGGUGAAGGAAUUAAGCUGAGAACUAAGAUUGGGUAGAACUCCACAGACUCCUGUAGCAGAUGUGGAAACUUUCCUUGAUUUCCUAACCCCAGUGAAAAGAGUGGUGUUUAGCAUUGGAUUCUGUUAUAACACAUACCCUACAUUUACUUUAAUAAUAGUAAUAGUUUUUGAAAAACUAUGUAUGUAAUGAUGGUGGAAUGUGAUGAUCAUUAUUAUCCAAAGUACAGGUAUGAAAACACGAAUUGGUAUGAAUAUACUAUGUAUGCAACCAGAGAUAGGAAAAAUUGUGCUAUAUAUGUGUAGUAAGAACUGUAAUGCAUUCCUCUGUCAUAUAUAAAUUUAAGAAAAAACUAUGUAGGUUAGAAAUAUUCCACCUUCUAUGCUUCUAUGUAGGAAGAUAAGAGAGGCCACACACUGGCUAGGCUUAUAGGUCCAGCCCCAAUUUUUAUAUUGAAAGAGCACUUUAUUUUUCACCUUUUAGGUUUGAGAUGCAUACGGACAUACAAACAUAUUUACUUAUGUCUUUGCACUGGGGAUUUGGUGCUGGGGAUUGAUUGUUGGGUCUUGUGCAUACUAAGUACGAGCUCUAUCACUGAGCCACAUCCCCAGUCCUAUGGGUCUUGUGCAUACUAAGUAGGAGCUCUAUCACUGAGCCACAUCCCCAGUCCUAUGAAAAUACAUUUUGACAAAUUUCAGACUAGCUGAAGAAAGUUGGGGAUUUUAAACUGCAACUAGUUUGAUGUUGUUAAACUUAACUUUCAGAAUAAGAAAUCUGAAUUUCUUGAAAAAAAUACUCUAUAUAAACGUAUUUAUGAGAGAACAAGUAAGUGGAUGUUUUGUUAUUUUUGUUGUUUUUUGGCUGGGGAGAGGGGUUACAUAUAUCUCUUAGUAACACUUUUAUUUUGAGGUUUAAAAAUCAGGGCUAGGGGUUGCAGCUCAGUGGAAGAGCACUUUCCUGGCAUGCACAAGGCCAUUGUUUCAAUUCCCAAUGCUGCAAAAAUAAAUUAAUUAAAAUUCCCCCCCCCCAAAAAAAUCAGGCCCAUUCAUAGGUGACUACAAUUUAAUAUAAUUCUUAUAUCUGAAAGGAUUUCUACCACCUGAUGUUAACAUGUUAUCUAGCCCAAAAUAAAUGCUUAGUAAAUACUUGUUGAAUUAACUAGUUAAUUUACUUGAAAGAAUUUGUAGAAUUUAUAUUUUGUGUGUGUGUUUUUAAGAAAUGUUUGUAGGUUGCUGUUUCUGUCAAUGGCAGAGUAAUUUUGUCAGGCUAACUCCUAUAGAGUUCAGAACAAAAUGUUUUAAAAACAACCCUUUGAAGGUAACAAUAGGCAGAUAAACCAGAAGGCAGUUGACCCUUGAAAGAAGGGGACUGUAUUUGUCUGUACAUGUCUUGAAGACAUUUCCAGUGCACAGUUCAGGAGUAUGCUAGAACUGAAGAUGGAAGCUACCAUCCUCCUGUUUUGAGGAAUAUGAGGACAGAGUUCAAGGCUUCUGAAGAGACUACAAAGUGAGGUGGACAUUACAAAAAAAGUGAACCAUAGAAAGAGAACUUCCAGGGCCACGUGUUGGUGUCAUACACCGGUAAUCCCAGUGGCUCAGGAGGCUGAGGAAGGAGGAUUCCAAGUUUGAGGACAGCCUCAACAACUAAGUAAGGUCCUAAGCAACUUAUCAAGACUCUGUCUCAAAAUAAAAAAUAAAAAGGGGUUGGGGAUGUGGCUCCAUGGUUAAGCACCCUGAGUUCAAUCUCUAGUACCGAAAAGAAAAAAGAAAGAAAGAGGACUUUGGCUAGUCUCAGAGUGAUACAUCUAGUGUUGCCGAGUCCUUGGCUAGUCCCUGAGUGAUACAUCUAGCUGGGAGACUCCGGAGUCUGGCAGAAAGCAAAUAGCUAAAUGACUGAAAGAACUGAGCAGUUUCCAGCCACUGCCCAUCUUAGGAAUUACAGUUUGAUUCCUGCCAAAUGAGUUCCCAGCUAGAACAAAAAAUACACUUUCCAGGGGAAGGAAAUAGAACCUAGAGACACCAUAUUGUUUACGAUGUCCACAAUAAGAAAUUAUAAGAAUGGGAAGAACAAGAAAACAAGACCAGAGUUUUAAAAAAAUAAAUUAGAAAAAAUGGUCAAUAUAAACUGACUUUUCAAAAUGACUCAGACAUUGAAGUCAUAGACAUAGACUUUGCAGCUACUACAAAUAUGUUUAGUUAGGUUAAAUACUUUCAGAUAAAUUACAAUUGAAAGGAUUUUUCAGCAGCAGAUCUGCUACACAGAACUGCAAAAGGAAUCUGUUUGGUCUAAAGAAAAAUGACAGCAGAUGGAAACACAAUCUAAGCAAACUAUAGGCAUAUGGGACCAUACGGGACAAGACUGAUGGAAUAAGAGAGUCUUUUUUUUUUAAACUAAAUAGGGAUAAAAAUCAUAUAGGAGUUUCUUACACUACUAUAACUUUUCUAUAAGCUUGAAAUUAUUUUUUAAAAGUCAUAGAAAUAAAGAACUUAUAAAUAAAUUUCUUAGUAAAUCAGGUUUUAUUUUUCAUAUCAUACCAAUCAUCACCAAAACUGAAAAACUGCCAAGGUAUCUAUAUUAGUACAUUUUCUGUUGCUAUAACAAACUACCUAUGGCUUGGAACUUUAUAAAGAAAAUAAAGGUAUAUUUAGCUUAUAGUUUCAGAGGCUGAAAGUCAAAGAUAGGGCCAUCCUAUCAAUUCAGCCAGUGGUAAGGAUUCCUUGGGUACAUCAUGUCAUGCAAAGAAAAGAGAAGAGUAGGAUUUUGCUUGGUGUGUGUGUGUGUGUGUGUGUGUGUGUGAGAGAGAGAGAGAGAGAGAGAGAGAGAGAGAGAGAGAGAGAGAGAGAGAGAGAGACUGGGGUUUGAUCCCAGGGCUGUGAGCAUGAUAGGUAAACACCCUACCACUGAACUAUAUCCCCACCCUUGAAAAGACUAAUUCUAUAGGCCAUACAUAGUCAAGUCUAUUGUCUCACCUCUGCAAGACAGGAAUAUAGAUGGGUGUUUAAAACAAAAACAAACCAAAAGAACACCAUAACUGAUCAACUUCCCUUUGUCUGGUGUUCAGGUUUUCCUUACUCAUCUGUGUACCUUGAAUACAGUAGGUGUUCAACAAGUAAUUAAAUCAGAUUGAAUCUAUUGUUAUUUAUGUUAUCCCAGAAAGCAGUCAGGCCUAUGAAAUACCUUCAUUCUCAGUUUAAAAAUUUUUUUUUUCAACCAAAAAAGAACAGCAGUGAUUUUACCAUUCUUGUUGCUCUCUGCUAACCAUCCAGUAUACUUUGAAAAUGGUUAAAGCCCAAUAAUACAUUAUUCUCCAAAAAGCAAAAGAGGGAGGAUGGGGUUUUCCCAAAAAAUAUUUCAGAACACAAUGUACCAUGCAUUUUUAAGGAGUUAUAAAUUUGUAAAAAUGUGUAAUUAGGCUGGAAGUGGUAAAUGGUUUACCUAGCAUAUGUGAGCCCUGGGUUCAAUCCCCAGCACUAUGCACAUGGGUGAUCUCUCGCUCUUACACACACACACACACACAUUUUUAAAAUGUUCUUUAAAAACUUUUUAGCAAUGUUACAGAAAAAUAAAAAAGCAAACAGAGUGAGUUAUAAUAUUUGCCUUUCCAAAUCAGUUUAUACUACUAUUUUAAUUGAUUUUCAAGAUCUAAGGUCUUAAAACCAAUGAUAAUGGCCAGCAGACUCAAAGUUAUUUGAAUUUCAAAAAGAAGGAACUAAAAGAGAUGGCAGGGGCCUGACAUGGUGGUGAAUGCCUGUAAUCCUAGCAACUCCAGAGGCUGAGGCAAGAGAAUUUUUUGUCUUUAAGGCCAGCCCCAGUGAGGCCCUAUCUCAAAAAAUAAAAAGCACCAGGAAGGACUGGGAAGUAGCUCAGUGGUAGAGUGUCCUUGAGAUCAAUCCCCAGGACUAAAUAAAUAAAUAAUUUAAAAAAGAUUUUAUAAAAAGAUUGCAGGUACUAUACAUACUUGUUAACUGGUAUUUGGGCAAUCUUGAGUGGACCAAUCACAA